GCCUGGCUGAGAAUGGAGUCUGGUCAUAUGGCUGCAGAUGGACCGAGUCCCCUGAUUGAAAAGUGGACUGGACCCCCAAUGAUUGCCUCAAGACACUUUCUGGUAGCCCACUGAGGACAUUAGGCCAGAGGCAGAAGGAAGGUAAGCCCGUGCUCUUCAGUAGGAAAUGGACUGAGGCUACUACAUGGUCCAUCACAGUCAAGACUGAAAAGAAAUUGGACACCAUUCAGCUGAAACAUCUCCAAAUGAUGGAAGACAUCAAAAGCUGCUGGAUGGUCAUCUGACAGCUGACCCUGCUGAGAUCCGGAAAGCAGCUGUUUCCUUGUACAGUAUUCUGUAUUUGCCUGAAACCUGUGAUGUGCUGGUAAUGGAGGAGCUGCAGGUUACCCAUCUGACUGAUGAGGAAAAGUGGUGUGUGGCCACCCACUGUCAUUGCAGGAGCUCUCUGUUGCAGUUCAGCAGCUCUCUGCAAGCAAGACCUCAACUACUGAUAUGCUGCCAUCUGAAUUCUAUAAGCAUCUCUGGCAUCUUAUCAGACAUGACUUCUUUCUAGUGGUGCUGGAGUGUAUCAAGGAGAAUGAGCUACCUCAGUAGCCACAGGGCAGACGCCAUAUCACGGCAAGCAUGGAGUCCGCUCAGAUCGCCGCGGCAGUUAUGAGCACUGUAAACACCAUGCUCAUUAUCUUGCAGUGUAUGCAGCAUCAAAACCUGCAAAAGCAGGCGAGGAGGCGACGACAGCGUGGUGAGGAGACUGGUGAGGAUAUGGACACAGACUUCUCUCAAAGCACGGGCCCCAGCAAUUUGGCCAUCCUGGUGGCAAUGGAGCAGGCUCAUGCCAUGGAACGCCGAUUCUGGGCCCAGGAAACAAGCACAGACUGG